AUAGAUGAGUUUGGUGGAUACAUAAUGCUCAGAGGAAGGUUCAUGUCUUCUUGAGCCUUCUGAUCCAGAUAUUAUUAAAACUGAUCCUACUUCUCAUUACCAUAGGUAUAAGGAAGUAAUCAGCAAAAGAGCUUUCAAGACCGUGUAUCCAUUGAAUGUUUUUGGUUUUAGAGAAGCAUUUCUAUAUUAUGUUGUAUUUUAUAGGAGUAAUUGAUAACUAAUUGAAUGCUUUUACCUCAUUGUUAAUUGUUUUUAUAUACAUCAUAUUUA